GGGCCGUGCGGGUGUCAAAGGCGCGGGCGCGGGCAGCCCAGCUGGCGAAACAGGCGAGGUAAUUUGCGUCGUCCACUCAUAGUGUGGACCAAGCUAUUGAAUUACUUCCUUUACUCGCAGGCAAACUGGGGGAGGAGGCGGCCGGGUGCGCUCACUGGCGUCAUCAUACGCACGUAUUUUGACGCUGGUGGGCGAGGACUCGGCCCUGGGCGCUCCUGGGUUUUCCGUCCCCGCUUUUGAGGACGAGGCCGAGGGGAGACCCACAGGCGCCCAGGCAGGUCACGGGCAGCAGGCAGCCGAGCCGGUGCCCUCCACCUCGCGGGAUGUCAGGCCACCUGCAAGGCCCCGGGUGCGGCCCACGGCGCCUCGUGCCACCCCCCGAAUGUCGAGGCAGGAGCGGCACGACGAGGCUGCCAUGCAGGCAGUCGCCAACCAGACUCGGCAGGUGCAGCAGAACGAGACGAGGGACGCGCGGGACGUGGAGUUCCAAGGCCAGCUCCUGCGUUCAAUCGAUACCCUCAGCCACCGCAUGGAGGCUGUUGCGGAGUCGAACCAGGAGCAAGCUCGCGCCACACAAGCGGUGGCCCUGGAACUCCAAAACACGACCCGCGUGCUCGUCGAGGUCGUUCUGCUGCUGACUGCCGAGAGAAGUCGAGCCCUGCGAAGCCAAGACCUGCCGAGCCCUGCCCAGCCACCCCUCC